rnacentral:ncRNA from 2 species
AGAGAAGAUAGAGGAGCAAAAACCAUUAGUACACAAUGCGAGGAUAAUGAGGUCCAAUGACUAUUGUGGAAAGGGGGAAUUUGCCGAAGUGGAAAGAAUCUCAUGUUCUUAAAGCUGGUUCUGUUAUUGAAUAAAUGCAGGACUGUCAUAUAGGAAACUAUAUGGAGGGCUAUCUUAUGC